CGGAGAGUUUGAUCCUGGCUCAGGAUGAACGCUGGCGGCGUGCCUAAUACAUGCAAGUCGAACGCUUUGUGGUUCAACUGAUUUGAAGAGCUUGCUCAGAUAUGACGAUGGACAUUGCAAAGAGUGGCGAACGGGUGAGUAACACGUGGGAAACCUACCUCUUAGCAGGGGAUAACAUUUGGAAACAGAUGCUAAUACCGUAUAACAAUAGCAACCGCAUGGUUGCUACUUAAAAGAUGGUUCUGCUAUCACUAAGAGAUGGUCCCGCGGUGCAUUAGUUAGUUGGUGGGGUAAAGGCCUACCAAGACGAUGAUGCAUAGCCGAGUUGAGAGACUGAUCGGCCACAAUGGGACUGAGACACGGCCCAUACUCCUACGGGAGGCAGCAGUAGGGAAUCUUCCACAAUGGGCGAAAGCCUGAUGGAGCAACGCCGCGUGUGUGAUGAAGGGUUUCGGCUCGUAAAACACUGUUGUAAGAGAAGAAUGACAUUGAGAUUAACUGUUCAAUGUGUGACGGUAUCUUACCAGAAAGGAACGGCUAAAUACGUGCCAGCAGCCGCGGUAAUACGUAUGUUCCAAGCGUUAUCCGGAUUUAUUGGGCGUAAAGCGAGCGCAGACGGUUAUUUAAGUCUGAAGUGAAAGCCCUCAGCUCAACUGAGGAAUUGCUUUGGAAACUGGGUGACUUGAGUGCAGUAGAGGAAAGUGGAACUCCAUGUGUAGCGGUGAAAUGCGUAGAUAUAUGGAAGAACACCAGUGGCGAAGGCGGCUUUCUGGACUGUAACUGACGUUGAGGCUCGAAAGUGUGGGUAGCAAACAGGAUUANAUACCCUGGUAGUCCACACCGUAAACGAUGAGUGCU
rnacentral:rRNA from 1 species